rnacentral:rRNA from 1 species
UGGGGAAUAUUGCACAAUGGGCGAAAGCCUGAUGCAGCAACGCCGCGUGAAGGAUGAAGGGUUUCGGCUCGUAAACUUCUAUCAAUAGGGAAGAAAGAAAUGACGGUACCUAAAUAAGAAGCCCCGGCUAACUACGUGCCAGCAGCCGCGGUAAUACGUAGGGGGCAAGCGUUAUCCGGAAUUACUGGGUGUAAAGGGAGCGUAGGCGGCAUGGUAAGCCAGAUGUGAAAGCCUUGGGCUUAACCCGAGGAUUGCAUUUGGAACUAUCAAGCUAGAGUACAGGAGAGGAAAGCGGAAUUCCUAGUGUAGCGGUGAAAUGCGUAGAUAUUAGGAAGAACACCAGUGGCGAAGGCGGCUUUCUGGACUGAAACUGACGCUGAGGCUCGAAAGCGUGGGGAGCAAACAGGAUUAGAUACCCUGGUAGU